GUGAAUUUCUGGGAUUUUGAAUGUACUAACUGAUUUGGAGGGUUUUUUCAUAGCAAUGCUUGUCUCUAUUCUUCGAAGUGAGGAUUUUCUAGUAGGGCUCUCUGGCAGUUUGAUAUCUUGCAGAUUAGGCAUACUGAUUACCAUACGUCUAUUAAUGAUGUUCUGUGAAUUAAAUCUUUUAGAAGCCAUUUUCUCCAUAGUAAGUCUUCU
rnacentral:lncRNA from 1 species